GAUGAACGCUGGCGGCGUGCCUAAUACAUGCAAGUCGAGCGAACAGACGAGGAGCUUGCUCCUCUGACGUUAGCGGCGGACGGGUGAGUAACACGUGGAUAACCUACCUAUAAGACUGGGAUAACUUCGGGAAACCGGAGCUAAUACCGGAUAAUAUAUUUAACCGCAUGGUUCAAUAGUGAAAGACGGUUUUGCUGUCACUUAUAGAUGGAUCCGCGCCGCAUUAGCUAGUUGGUAAGGUAACGGCUUACCAAGGCAACGAUGCGUAGCCGACCUGAGAGGGUGAUCGGCCACACUGGAACUGAGACACGGUCCAGACUCCUACGGGAGGCAGAAGUAGGGAAUCUUCCGCAAUGGGCGAAAGCCUGACGGAGCAACGCCGCGUGAGUGAUGAAGGUCUUCGGAUCGUAAAACUCUGUUAUUAGGGAAGAACAAAUGUGUAAGUAACUAUGCAAGUCUUGACGGUACCUAAUCAGAAAGCCACGGCUAACUACGUG
rnacentral:rRNA from 1 species